rnacentral:rRNA from 1 species
GUGGGGAAUUUUGGACAAUGGGCGCAAGCCUGAUCCAGCAAUGCCGCGUGCAGGAAGAAGGCCUUCGGGUUGUAAACUGCUUUUGUACGGAACGAAACGGUCCGGGUUAAUACCCUGGGCUAAUGACGGUACCGUAAGAAUAAGCACCGGCUAACUACGUGCCAGCAGCCGCGGUAAUACGUAGGGUGCAAGCGUUAAUCGGAAUUACUGGGCGUAAAGCGUGCGCAGGCGGUUUUGUAAGACAGGCGUGAAAUCCCCGGGCUCAACCUGUGAAUUGCGCUUGUGACUGCAAGGCUGGAGUGCGGCAGAGGGGGAUGGAAUUCCGCGUGUAGCAGUGAAAUGCGUAGAUAUGCGGAGGAACACCGAUGGCGAAGGCAAUCCCCUGGGCCUGCACUGACGCUCAUGCACGAAAGCGUGGGGAGCAAACAGGAUUAGAUACCCUAGUAGUCC